CUCAGGUGGCAAGUAAUGUUUACAAAAAUUCUGGGUCCACACAUCGAAGAUUAAAAGAAGGGUUAGGGAGACUAUCAACCUUAAUUCUUCUACAGAAAAGCGUAACAACAAAGAAAUUGAAUCCAAGGAAGUCACCGAGUCCAAGGAAAACCGAGGAAACUCAAUGUUUACAUAUGAACGAAGUAACCUUUCAGAUGUUGCAGAAAUCAUUUUUAUGUCAAAUGUCUGCUUUGUGGCUAUGUCAGUCUUCAAGUGAUUAUAUCUAUCUGUUUAAAACUGAAGAUAAAAGUGUAACAUACCAUUUAACCAUUGACAAGGACUUGAAUUGUGAAGUACAAUAUAAUAAUUUUUGUUUCCUGUUCAAAUUAAAGUUACAUUUAUAGAUUUACUUAUAAGAACUGUUGAGAAUAUGAAGAUAUGUGGGGGCAUAACAUCAAAACAUUUACAGUCUUAUUCUCAAUGUCAGCCUACAACUGUAAGAUAUAUCAGACAGGUUGAUCUUUUCAUGAACACAAAUAAGUCAACAUAUAAAUUACGAAAGCUGUGUACUUGCUUCUGUAUGUAAUAGUUUUUUUGAGGACACUCAAAAAGAAAUUUGUUUAAGUUGUCGACAGAUUAACAGAGAUUUACAGAGAAAGUAAAUAGCAAUAAUAAUAGUUUAUUUCACAUAUAUGGCUACAUAGCACAUUGCAUAUUCAGAUUUUGAUUGACAAUAUAUAAUUAAAAGAAUCAAUAUUUACAUAUUUGUAAAUGUAAUUUACAAUUCAAAAAUAGCUUAGCAAUAAUAUAUAGUUGCCAUAUAAACGAGCAAAAAGUGAUAGAAUAUAAUCAUGUGGUACGAAUUUGAUUAAAAUGUAGAUUUCACUCCAUUUUGAUUUAUUUCUUCCAACUGACUCGACUCCACAUAGAUUUGAGGUCAAAUGAGAAGUUAUAGAGUUAAACUGUGAUCAGUGAUGCCAGGUAUUUUAUUUACAGCACUUUGCUGCAAGCAUUUCACACAAUGAAAGUAACAAAAACACAGAUUAUACAGAUAAUUUCAUACAACAAAAUAGAAAGUGUAUAAUUAAACUAAACAUUUCCUGGAUCUAUUGGAAUUAAUAUCAAUAUUGGAAGUAUAAAAAUAUAAAUGUGAUUGAAUCUAGGAUUAAAUCUAGAACUUAAUCAGCAGUGUUCUACAGAUUUUUUAUUUCUUGUUAUUACUGUAUUGUAGUUAAUAAGUAAUGAAAAGAAAACAAGGCCCCAAGUUCACAAAGCAUUCUCAGUCUUAAGUUAAGGUUUUACUCAAAAUUGUUUGUCUUAUUUUAACUCAAAUAUAGCACUUUACUAACUAUUGUUGUUUUAAUGUAAAUAUAUCAAUAAGAAACUAUGUGCAAAGUUUUGUGUUUCUGGAUCAAAGCUAUUUCUCAAAAACAGUGAUUGAAAUUUGAGCAAAUUCUUAAGUCUGGGAAUGCUUUGUGAACUUGGGGCCAGGUUGAUAAUUGUAAACAAAAUAUACCGAGACGCAAUGAAAUAGCACCUCUGAGAUGACGUGGCAUAACUUUGCACCUUCCAUAGUUGCACAAAACCUAGCUUUUUAAAAGCUGCAUUAUAUACCCGACGUGUACCAGAAAAAUCAACAUACUGAUUCUGUUGGGUUUAAUUUUUUUGAUUGAGAAUUGUUCGGGGUGCGUUUACGCAAUCUUCAAAACAUUCUCACAUGUUAUCAUCGUAAUAUGAUGUUGUUACAUCCUUAAUUGCAAGAUUAAAGCAAAUCUUUAAAACAAAAUUGAGCUGAAAAGUACUAAGUAGGGCGUUAAACCUGGAUUCAUUUCAAAUAAGAUUUACAUUCAUCCAUUUAUAAAAGUGAUGUAUUAUUUUUAUUGCAUCUCAGUAUAAAAUAUUAACAAUGAUAACAAAUUUUAUACAGGUGCACUACUUGUAAUGUGUGAGCUUUAUAAAUGUAUUAAAUUAUUCUUAAAUAUACAUUAUGUAAGAUUUUGAUAAAGAGCUAGCCAUUCUUGCUAUAAUAGUUCGAAGAUAAAUAAUGUAAAAUGAAUAAUUUGAAAAUUUCAUUCAAAUUACUCUAUUGCGAGCGAAGAUAUUAGCCUUUGAAGGCCUUUGAAGGUUUGACAAGACGUGUGCAAUAAUUUCAACCAUCGUACUGGUUGUUCGAAGUAAAGUCUCACUCCUCCAUUUUUAGCUUAAAUCAAAAUAUGGCUGAACUGUUCUAAUCUAUUUAAUAUUGGAGAAAUCCGAUGCCAUCGAGAGUUGAUUAGGGCCUGGAUAAGUUAAUUAAUGUCUAAUUAAUAAUUUAGAAAACAUUUCAGGCCUAAAGAAAACCUGCAAUAGGCAGAUUUAGCUCUUGCAUAAUGUAUGUAGUAGUUAUUAGCACACUUUCCGAGGUGUAUCGGUGAAUAUCAGAACAGUUUUGGUCGAGGGGCCCAGCCGAGGCGGCUCCCGACCAAAACUGUCCUGAUAUUCACCGAUACGCCGAGGAAAGGUGCUAAUAAGUUACUUACAUCACAUUUCUAUCGAGUAUUGUGAAGCAAAAUGUGAAAAAUAGUAUUUAUUAUCGAGUCGUUUCAACCGAAAAGUGACAAAUACUUUCUGUUCUUUCAUUAUUUAUCCCUUUCUGAGCCUCAGGUUACAUUUCAUGGUAGAAUGAUUUCGCAGUGGAGAGACGACCUGAGUAGUAUUCACACGUGCGUCUUGCUAUGAUACUCUGAGCGUAAAACAAUCACGUGUUUGUUUAGAACACAUCGUCAAAACAAUGUCUAUAUGGCGUAGAGGACUGCGAUAUUAUUAAAUGUAGUGUAAAGGAAAUGCGAAACGUGGGUCAUUCCUGGUGAAAGUAUGCAUCGGCGGAUGGUUCUUCCGUUGAAAUUUAUUUGUAAUAAAGUUUAUGACUUUAUAGGCGUCUUUUUUUCAUCCUGCUUAUUUUCAAAGCCUGUGAAGUGUCCAGCAAGAGAACUGCGCCUUCUAUCAUCACAAUUAAUUAAAAUAAUUAUUGAAUAUUCUAAUUUAUAUAUUUUGCAUAUUAAUAUAAAUCAAACCAAAUUAUGAAAUAGAUGCCAAUUGGUAUGUAUAAUAAUUGAUUUUUGUAAUAUGUUGUUAUGUUAAUUUAAUGUCAUUGUAUAUGUUUUUGAACUGCCAUGUAGUUCCCCCCAUUUUGUUUUGUUACUAUGAUUUUGAUAGUUGUUUCAUGUACAUUGGUUAGAGCCUCGUUAUCAAUUGCGAUCUGGGUCGGACUAAACGUCCGCUACUUAUUGCUUGAUAGAUAUCUAAAACGGUAUAAAAGUAUCCGUGUAUCAGAAAUGAUCAGUACUCUUUCUGUACAUUUCUGAUACUUUUAAGCAUGUAUUGCAAAUUAAACAGGACAGUUUUAUCAAAGGUUGCCAGUGGCAACGAGUAGAAGUGGGAUAGAAGACGAAUUACGUAUACGGUGAACAGGAUGUGUAGCUUGGUAUAUAAGCACGUUACUAGCGCGAGCUGUGAUAUAUACACAACAGGAAACUAUUACAGAUACUACUGACUUCAUAUAUAAGAUGAACUCUGUCAGCUUGAUUUGUUUUGUCUUGGUAACUGUCUGUUUAGUGGUGGAUGUUACUCGUGGUCAGGGAACUAACUGUAAAACAUCUGGAUGUACGUGUAAUUCUAAUAGCAUCAACGUGGUUCCCCCCGGCGGACCUGCUAGAAACCUAAACGUAUGUUGUCCCCCAAAAGACGGUAUUACCUGCAGCAGGCAUUUAAGAACAGGAAGUGCAAUUAAUGCUACGCAUGGUGCUUUUUGUACGUGCGAUUUUACACGUAUUACGGGGAAUUGUGAACGCGGUGAACAAUGUACAGGGAUUAAAGCCCUCUUGAGCUCUUCUGCACUUAACGGAAUGAAGAUCUGUUGUCCCACUAUUACUGGUAGAGUCACCAGGAUAGUUAGGAUUCCUGGUACGCAGAAUUAUGACUGUCAGUGUACUGAACCUACAGCACCAAGUGGUGACGACUGGACUGGGGACUGUUGGAAGGGAAGUCAGUGUAACGGCUGCGACCCAGGUUAUGUUGGAGGUGUGAACGGCUUGAAACUCUGCUGUUCCAACUGCCAACAGAAAGGUCUCAUUAUCAACGCCGGUGCCAAGACCUGCAAUUGUAAUGUUUAAAUCUCAGACGCUUCAACAAUCUAUUUUCUUCUAACACAAUUUUUUGGGGGAUAAUUUCUUUUUGAAAUUAUGAUAGUGUUCCAUUUUACCAAAAUAUACCCUUUUUUGUUUAAAAAAUAAAUAAAAAGUUGAAAGUGUUCUAUUUUACCAAAAUAUACCCUUUUUUGUUUAAAAAAUAAAUAAAAAGUUGAAAGUCA